UAGCACAAACCACACUAGUGGAUACUGGUAAAGAUGGUGAUAAACAUACUGAAACAUUAUUAGAAAGUCUUCAAAGAAAACUUGCAUCCCAGCAAAGAGUUCCACAACAUUUACUUAUUGAUGAUGCAGAACAACAAAAUGAGGCAUCUGUCGAUGAGGCCGCUAAAGCAAAAGCGGAUAAGAAAGACCAGUUUUCAAAAGAUGAUUCGCUGCAAAUAGACAACGUUUGGCGAUUUGCACCCAUACAUGAUAGUGAUGUGACCAAAGACGACCAACUUCUCCAGAAACCCGAACUUAUUCGUCAAAAUCAUGAUAUCAUUUUUGAUCCAGCCACGCGUCCCGCAAAUAUCCGUCACCGAUACGAGAUAGAUUCCUUUGAUGAACUAGCAAAAAAUUAUUUAUCAAUGGAUAUAGAUGAAGUUGACAAGCGGCUCUUACAAGAUAUGGAGCGUAUGGGUUUACCCAUUAACACAAGCGAAGCUAUGAGUCCAAAUAUCAACGUCUCUUGUGAAAAGGAAGAUAACAGUGAAAAGCUUUCGUCGAAGCCUGUCGAGUCUCAACAGAAAAAGGCGACUGUAAGCAAUCCACAUUACUAUGACAAAAAACACUGGUGCAAUCUUUAUUUUAAAGAUUUAUCUGAAGUUCCAGAGGAAGAUGUCCAUGAAAAUUAUAAUGUUUUUGCACCUGACAGGACGUUCCACUAUGACAUGCUACCUUUACAUUUCGUAGAUUACGAUCCGUUUUAUAAAAGCAGUAAAAUUAAUAAACCCCUCCAGAAAUUCGGAUUUGAAGAACAUGAUGAUAUGUUACCAUUUCAUCUAUUCAAUUGCCAGGAUUUCACCCAACUAGAUUUGAGAGUCGGUAAUGAUUGUAAGAUUUAUUCCGCCAUUGAGAACAUAAAGGUUGAUGAAACUCAGCCAAGUCACUUUGCCCUUCAAGGAAACUUGAAUAAUGAGGUUAAUUCUGCUUUGAAUGCUAUUGAACAACUGGAACAGUAUGAUUUUUGUACAUCAUCCUUCGAGGAAUUACUCUAUGGAGAUGAAAGAGAACCAAAACCUGAAAUGAGUGAAACUGGAAUAUUUCAGACUUUACUAUAUGAGGACAGGGACAUUACAAAUUUUGAUUAUACUUUUCCAUGCUAUAGUACAAAUGCUGAAGUCCCAUUAAGUAAUCAACAUAAACUAAAAACGGUAACAGACAAAGCACAGGGGUCUAAGCCAAUUAGACAAAUUGAACAAAAAACAAUGCCGGUAGAAGAAUUAAUAAAGGAGAAAGAACACGUAGUAAAGCCACUGCCUCGCAUAAGUCUGUCAAAACCAAAAGAUGCUGAAAAAUCUGAUGCAAUAGAAACUAUAGAACAGAAAGUUGAACAAAAUCAUAUUAUAAAUUCGAACGUUAUGGAACAGGUUAAAUCAUAUACUCCGGAAAACAUAACACAACCCAAAGAAACUCUUGACAGACUUGUACAAGUUCAUCCUCAAACAAUGCCUCAAGAAAACGUUAAAAAACCAAAUUCCGCUAAUAACAUGAUGGAUGUACUAAAGAACACGCCAACGGAAUACGAAAUAUCUGAGACAAUUAUACAAAGUCCACAGGAGCCAAACCCCAAAACUGUUCAUUUAAGUAAUUUUAUAAAUGCCAGUGUUAUGAAACAAGUUGGUGCACAUACUGUUCCAAAUAAUACAACAAACCCCAAUGAAAGAUUUCACAGACUUAAUUCUCAGUCGCUCCCAAAUCCCGAAUUAAUGUCUCAGGAUAACAUCGUGAAACCAAAUGUUGCGGAGCAGCUGAAGGAUGUACUACAAAACGUGCAAAAAGCAACGAAAAGCAAUAAACCUGGUACGGUACCACAUAACACACCAGAUCCCAAUAAUAAGGAAGUUGAAUUAAGGGUUUUUAUAAAUGCUAAAGUUAUGGAACAAAUUGGUGCACGUAUUGCUUCGAAAAACACGCCACAAGCCCGUGAAGGAUUUGAGAGUCUUGUACAAAUGAAUCCUCAUUCACCUGCAAAUAACUUCGCCUUAAACAACACGCCGCAACCGCGGGAAGGGUUUGAGAGACUUGUAAAAAUGAAUCCUCAAUCGCCUGCAAAUAACCUCACCUCAAACAACACGCCACAACCGCGAGAAGGGUUUGAGAGACUUGUACAAAUGAAUCCCCAAUCACCGGAAAAUAACUCCCUAUUUGUACACAUGAAUCCCCAAUCACCUGUAAAUAAUUCGCCACUUGUACAAAUGAAUCCCCAACCACCUGCAAAUAAUUCCCCCUUAAACAUAAUACAUGACAAGAUAAUGGAACAAGUCCGAGCACCGCCACCUAAGUUGAAACACACAACAGAUUCGGUUAAGGGUAUCCACUCCGUUGUUCAAAUGCAGCCUCAAGCAGCACCUGAAACUAAUCGUAAUCCGCCAAAAGCGACAUUCAAUGAGCCUUUGAAGGAAACAAUGAUAUAUGACCAUCCACCUUAUCAAGAGACUGCAACGCAUGAAAAUACUCACGAAACGUUUGAAUCCCUGGCGGUACAAAAGCCUAAACAGCUAAAUAUAAACAAUGAGGCUGUGGUGCCGAUUGACACACUUGUACAAGCGGAGAAAACGCGGCAGCCGUCCCGAGGAACUGAAACCAUGGUACAAAGCUGCGUACAGACGACAUCGACACCUACCGAAGAUGACGAUACAGCAAAUAAACUCAAGCUAGAUUUGAAUUUAUCACUUUCAGAGCUCCUUAGACGCGUUCGGGCGCGUAAUCGCUUACAAUAUCUCAGAGAAAUAAAAGAACAAUUUGAAAGCAUGUCAGUAUUGUAUGCGGAGGAGAAAAGGUGUCCUCCGAGCGACAGGCCGCAAUGCCCACCGCCGCCUGAAUGCUCCAAGCCCUGUCCACCGCCACCGAAAUCCCCAUGUCCACCGCCAAAGAAACAACCCGUAUGCCCGCCGCCAAAGAAACAACCCGUAUGCCCGCCGGCACCGAAAUGUCCUCCAGAGCCACCUAAAUGUCCACCUCCUAAAGUACCGCCUAAAUGUCCACCUGAUCCACCUAAAUGUCCACCGGAUCCACCCAAGUGUCCUCCAGAACCGAAAUGUCCGUGCCCUUGUCCUCCACCACCGAAAUGCCCCCCUGCACCGCCUAAAUGCCCAUGUCAAUCUACUGACUUUGAUGAACCUGUAGCUAUACCUUACCUGAACCUUUUUGACACUGGUACUGGUUAUUUGAGGUCUGUAAUAGAGUUAGUAAAAAAAGGCUUUCUGGAAUCGAAAAACAUGCUUUUCCCUGGCAUGACGAGGGAGACGGAUAGGCCUUAUGGGUUGAAACUGAAUAGAAUAAAGGAUUUCGAGCCGUGGACGCCGGUUCCGUCGUGGCCGUUCCCCGUGGAGCACAAGAAGAGGAAACUGCAGUGUCCGUACCACGGCUGCCCAUACCCGAAGCCCGGCCCAGUCCGACCUAACUGCCCUGAGCUCCCUUGCACUGGUUUCCCGAAACGCCUGACUUGUUCUGACACUGAUAUUCGGCAAGAUUCAAGAGAGACGAUUAACAUAUUAUGAUGUAUCUACUAAAUUGGCGUUAUAAUUAAGCAGUGCAUAAAGCUACCCGAGGAUUUUGCAAGACCGACUGGACGAAACCAAGGCACCUAAACAAGCCGUAUACCGAGCAUCGCAGCGAUUUGCCGUUGGUCGUUCAAAACAACCCAGGGCAAAAAUCCGUUCGGUACGGCGAGCUAUGGAAAGCAUGGUUUGCCAUAGAAUAUGAACUCAUCAACUCCAUUGCGAAAAACGGCAAAGUUACAGCACCGUUCCUGUUUGACUAUAACCGAAACGACGGCAUAAAAACCUACACAAAUAUAGAAAAGAAAGACGAUGUUUCGAAAGAUGAAGGCGCGAAUAAAGAUGAAGGCAUAAAUAGACGACACGUAGAUGCGAUACUACGGACAUAUUCUGAAUUGCAAGCGUACUCUUCACCAAUGGUCAAAAAAUCUGGCUUUGUAAUGUUAGAAGAAAAAGGUCCGGAAGAUAUAUCUGCAGCUACGGUAAAUGUAACAACAAAGAAUGUGGAAGAUGAAAAGCUUGAACAGAAAUUAGAAUCAAUUGAAGAAGUACCGUUAGUCGAAGCUGAUCCCGAUAUCAUUAAACCGCCACAGACUUCAGGGCCCGUCGUGAUGAACAUGUCUAGUUCUGAUAUCGAGGAAUUUGCCAGGCAUUCAGACUUUCAGAUUAGCGAUGAGCCCGAUAGCGCGUCUAUUAUUCAUUACCAUUACCAAGUCGAUCGACAGAAGGAUACAAACUUCAUUAAGAAUUAUUUCGAAAAAGAUAGUUGCAGAAAGUCGAAUAUCACUGAUCUUAUCACUCUGAAUGCCGUCCCGGAAAUCAAGGACGAAGAGGAACUAUCUCUUAUGGAUUUAAUGCAAAGAGUUCGUCAAAAAAAUCGGUUGAUCCGCUGUCGCGAUAUAGAGUGUCAACUGAAUGCCUCCGCAACGGAUGAAAAUGUUAUGGCGGACAGGAACACCAAUUUCCCGCAGCAUCAGUUCCCUUACCAGCAACCUGGGUGGGCCUGGCCGACGCCAACGCCCUUUCCACAUCACCCACACAGGCAUCCGUCUCCAAUGUACCCUCACGUUGCAAGCCCGCAUCCUCGCAAGGCAGAGCCCAUAACCCCUGACAACCGCCCAGGAUAUAAUAGAGCGACUAAAGUAAAUCCUGUGACGCUGGCUCUAUAUCUCGGUCCUUUGGUUACAGCUUUUAGAAAUGCUAGUAUCUUAUUUCCUCUCCUGACAGCGAGUCUCAUCUCGAAGACUUCUAACAAAGACCCGGACAUUGAUAACAUUUGUGUGCUGCACUCCUGCUAUGAAAAAGAAUCGGGGACAGAGAAUUAGUUACUUACUCAAGCAUACUUAUGAUUAGACUAGACCUAUAAAUUAUUGUGUAAAUUAUUUAUUCAAUAAAAAUAGUAAUAAAUAA
rnacentral:misc_RNA from 1 species